rnacentral:lncRNA from 1 species
AUCAUUAGGGUAUGCGAGAGGCAAGGUUGUUAUUUAGGGACACGACACAAAGGCAUUUGCACCAUACUGUAGCUCCACUGAUGCGGCAUAUGACAGAAUCAGCAGAACAGCUAGUGCUGAGCUAGAACUUGCCAUCUAGAAAGAUGAGAACAUAAUUGUGCAGAGUACCGAUACCUGAAAAUAGUGAGUUGAGACCAUGCGGUCACGCAAGUUUAUCGAAAUCAAGUGAUAACAUUGAAAUUCCUAAACAAGGAACUCGCCAAUGCAACCAUAAAUCAAGCAUGAGAUCGAAUCUCAUGUCUCCAACUUGCAGGCCUACGUUCUGAAACUCGUAAGAACCAUUACCCAGUAUACUGUGAUCCAUAUCCUAACCUCCAUUUAUAUCAGGGAACAUGUGGAAACUCUGUUCUGCUAACAUGACUGUUAAUAACCUAGUCAAACAUCAAACACCAUGACUAUAACAGCAGUGACUAUACUAGUGUUCAAAUUCAUCGUUGAUAAGACUAUAUCUUGAAUCAUCUCGAAGAAGAAGACACAUGCAAUCGCUCCCAAUGCUCUCAGCAGAGAGAUUUUCUUCCUCUGGUCUCUUCAUUUGAAAAAUGAUUUAACAGCACAAUAAGAUCCUCACGCUGAAAAUCUUCGUUAGAGAUUAUUCUUCCUGUUUGUCGCAUCUAACAAUGAUAAAAUUUCAAACCCAGG